rnacentral:rRNA from 1 species
GGAAGUAAAAGUCGUAACAAGGUCUCCGUUGGUGAACCAGCGGAGGGAUCAUUACCGAGUUUACAACUCCCAAACCCCUGUGAACAUACCUAUACGUUGCCUCGGCGGAUCAGCCCGCGCCCCGUAAAACGGGACGGCCCGCCCGAGGACCCCUAAACUCUGUUUUUAGUGGAACUUCUGAGUAAAACAAACAAAUAAAUCAAAACUUUCAACAACGGAUCUCUUGGUUCUGGCAUCGAUGAAGAACGCAGCAAAAUGCGAUAAGUAAUGUGAAUUGCAGAAUUCAGUGAAUCAUCGAAUCUUUGAACGCACAUUGCGCCCGCCAGUAUUCUGGCGGGCAUGCCUGUUCGAGCGUCAUUUCAACCCUCAAGCUCAGCUUGGUGUUGGGACUCGCGGUAACCCGCGUUCCCCAAAUCGAUUGGCGGUCACGUCGAGCUUCCAUAGCGUAGUAAUCAUACACCUCGUUACUGGUAAUCGUCGCGGCCACGCCGUUAAACCCCAACUUCUGAAUGUUGACCUCGGAUCAGGUAGGAAUACCCGCUGAACUUAAGCAUAUCAAUAAGCGGAGGAAAAGAAACCAACAGGGAUUGCCCUAGUAACGGCGAGUGAAGCGGCAACAGCUCAAAUUUGAAAUCUGGCUCUCGGGCCCGAGUUGUAAUUUGUAGAGGAUGCUUUUGAUGCGGUGCCUUCCGAGUUCCCUGGAACGGGACGCCAUAGAGGGUGAGAGCCCCGUCUGGUUGGAUGCCAAAUCUCUGUAAAGCUCCUUCGACGAGUCGAGUAGUUUGGGAAUGCUGCUCUAAAUGGGAGGUAUAUGUCUUCUAAAGCUAAAUACCGGCCAGAGACCGAUAGCGCACAAGUAGAGUGAUCGAAAGAUGAAAAGCACUUUGAAAAGAGAGUUAAAAAGUACGUGAAAUUGUUGAAAGGGAAGCGUUUAUGACCAGACUUGGGCUUGGUUAAUCAUCUGGGGUUCUCCCCAGUGCACUUUUCCAGUCCAGGCCAGCAUCAGUUUUCGCCGGGGGAUAAAGGCUUCGGGAAUGUGGCUCUCUCCGGGGAGUGUUAUAGCCCGUUGAGUAAUACCCUGGCGGGGACUGAGGUUCGCGCAUCUGCAAGGAUGCUGGCGUAAUGGUCAUCAACGACCCGUCUUGAAACACGGACC